rnacentral:rRNA from 1 species
AGCAGCCGCGGUAAUUCCAGCUCCAAUAGCGUAUAUUAAAGUUGUUGCAGUUAAAAAGCUCGUAGUUGAAUUUCGGGGUUAGUAGAUUGGUCAUGCCUCUGGUAUGUACUGGUCUCACUGAUUCCUCCUUCCUGAUGAUCCGUAAUGCCAUUAAUUUGGUGUUGCGGGGAAUUUGGACUGUUACUUUGAAAAAAUUAGAGUGUUUAAAGCAAGCUAACGCUUGAAUACAUUAGCAUGGAAUAAUGGAAUAGGACGUUCGAUCCUAUUUUGUUGGUUUCUAGGAUUGACGUAAUGAUUAAUAGGGAUAGUUGGGGGCAUUAGUAUUCAAUUGUCAGAGGUGAAAUUCUUGGAUUUAUUGAAGACUAACUACUGCGAAAGCAUUUGCCAAGGAUGUUUUCAUUAAUCAAGAACGAAAGUUAGGGGAUCGAAGACGAUCAGAUACCGUCGUAGUCUUAACCAUAAACUAUGCCGACUAGGGAUCGGAUGAUGUUAAUUUUUUAAUGACUCA